CAAAAGGAACAUUCCAGACCUAUGUUGAAUCAAUUCCUUUCCUGAAACCAAUUCAAAAGGGUCAUUUCUAAGUUGUAGGAGUCAUUCAAAUACAAAAGCACUCGUCUCAACUCUCUCAAGUUGUCAAACAAGACAGGAUGAAUGGAAACAACAAAAGAACUUUCAACUUGUGGAAAUUACAUGCUCAAUGAUACGCCACCAUUUAGAGGAGAGGCUUGAAAUUCCUGGACUACUUCUAAUGCAGUAGUUCAUCAAAAGAAGAUUUAAUAAAUGUUUCAGAUUGAUUGCUCAAGGCCCAGGUGGAGCAGGAAGCCACAUUCUUCUGACUCAAAGAGUCAAAAGCAGUGGCUGGGUUGGGCAAUCGUGAGGUCACUGGCCCAGAAGUUCUGCUCCACUGAUGUCACCCCACAUCAUAUGGUGAAGACGGAUAACAUUACAAGCUGAUUGUAAGCCAAAAACUGAGCCACUCAUAGACCACAGAAGCAGCAGGAAGAUUUUCAAUUUUCCACAAUGAGUAUAAGCAGAAGACUGCUGACAGUUCGGGUUACUGCACAGGCUGCAGGGCAGAGAAAAUUAAACUGCUGUGUGGAAGUGUGAACAUAGAUUUCACAAUGAUUAUGAAAUCUGUGUUCUCUCUUUUAUUGAAGGAAAUUUCCCAAAGAUCAAAGAGAAUGCUCUCCCCUAGUCCAAAGAAAGUUCCUUUCAAUAGUAAAUGGAAUGUUCUUGAGCAAUUUCUGAUAAUAGGACUGAUCGAGUGACAAUUUUGUACUUAGCUGCGACUCAGAAAAUAAUACAUUCUCCAAGUCUGAAAUUUAUAAGUUCAAACCUCACUUCAAAGACCCAAGAAUAUGAACUAGGCUGACUCUGCAAUGCAGUAGUGACAUGUUGCUGCCAUGUCACAGGUGCCGUCUUUCAAAUGAAAUGCAAAACCUGAGGUUCAGUCCACUCUCUCGAAGGAUGUAAAACUAUUCAAAGGACAGCGAUGCUCUUCUUGCUUAGUAUUUGGUGAACAUGUAACAUCUUCUAUUUUGUUAGUCACCAGGAACACCCGAAUGUCAACUAACCUGAUACAACAAUAGGUGUAUUUUCUACCUCAAGACAGGUACCACUGCAAUACAAAUGCACAUCCAUUGAAACCACCCCGAUUCAUACGCAAACACAGAAUUGACAGAUUGGAACUACAACUUUGAAGCUCAUCAAAGUUAGGCCUGUAUCAGAAUAAGGCUUAUUUCUAGACAGAUACUGUAAUACAUAAUUUCUUGUUCCUAUGCAAUUGAUGUUAUUAGGUUUGUCUGUUAUUGUUGCAUAUAUGUGGUAAAGGCGCAAUGCAGAAUAAAUGCCUGAAGUCCCACAUAAUUUA